rnacentral:snRNA from 1 species
AUACUUACCUGGCGGGGGAGAUACCGUGAUCACGAAGGUGGUUUUCCCAGGGCGAGGCUUAUCCAUUGCACUCUGGAUGUGCUGACCCCUGCGAUUUCCAAAAUGUGGGAAACUCAACUGUGUAAUUUGUGAUAGUGGGGGACGGUGUUCGUGCUUUCCCCUG